CAGCUGUAAACAAUGUGCGUUAGGUGUGUCGGUAACCACGUGUUACUGAUGCGCCGAAGAGAAAUCGUGAAACGCACCACCUGGGAAGUACGGUCGCAAGGCUGAAACUUAAAGGAAUUGGCGGGGGGAGCACCACAACGGGUGGAGCCUGCGGUUUAAUCGGACUCAACGCCGGGAAUCUCACCGGAUAAGACAGCUGAAUGAUAGUCGGGAUGAAGACUCUACUUGACUAGCUGAGAGGUGGUGCAUGGCGUCAGUGACU
rnacentral:rRNA from 1 species